UUCCGGUUGAUCCUGCCGGAGGCCAUUGCUAUCGGAGUCCGAUUUAGCCAUGCUAGUUGCACGGGUUCAGACCCGUGGCAGAUAGCUCAGUAACACGUGGCCAAACUACCCUACAGAUCGUGAUAACCUCGGGAAACUGAGGCUAAUAACGAAUAGUACUCUCAGAUUUGAACAUCGUGAGUACGAAAUGCUCCGGCGCUGUAGGAUGUGGCUGCGGCCGAUUAGGUAGACGGUGGGGUAACGGCCCACCGUGCCGAUAAUCGGUACAGGUGGUGAGAGCCAGAGCCUGGAGACGGAAUCUGAGACAAGAUUCCGGGCCCUACGGGGCGCAGCAGGCGCGAAACCUUUACACUGCACGACAGUGCGAUAAGGGGACUCCGAGUGCGAGGGCAUAUAGUCCUCGCUUUUGUCGACCGUAAGGUGGUCGACGAAUAAGGACUGGGCAAGACCGGUGCCAGCCGCCGCGGUAAUACCGGCAGUCCGAGUGAUGGUCGAUAUUAUUGGGCCUAAAGCGUCCGUAGCUGGCCGAGCAAGUCUGUCGGGAAAUCCAGUAGCUCAACUACUGGACGUCCGGUGGAAACUGUUCGGCUUGGGACCGGAAGAUCCAAGGGGUACGUCCGGGGUAGGAGUGAAAUCCUGUAAUCCUGGACGGACCACCGAUGGCGAAAGCACCUUGGAAGCACGGAUCCGACAGUGAGGGACGAAAGCUAGGGUCUCGAACCGGAUUAGAUACCCGGGUAGUCCUAGCCGUUAACGAUGCCCGCUAGGUUUGGCGCAGGCUACGAGCCUGCGCUGUGCCGAAGUGAAGACGUAAGCGGGCCGCCUGGGAAGUACGUCCGCAAGGAUGAAACUUAAAGGAAUUGGCGGGGGAGCACUACAACCGGAGGAGCCUGCGGUUUAAUUGGAUUCAACGCCGGG
rnacentral:rRNA from 1 species